rnacentral:rRNA from 1 species
UACGAAGGGGGCUAGCGUUGCUCGGAAUCACUGGGCGUAAAGGGUGCGUAGGCGGGUCUUUUAAGUCAGGGGUGAAAUCCUGGAGCUCAACUCCAGAACUGCCUUUGAUACUGAAGAUCUUGAGUUCGGGAGAGGUGAGUGGAACUGCGAGUGUAGAGGUGAAAUUCGUAGAUAUUCGCAAGAACACCAGUGGCGAAGGCGGCUCACUGGACCCGGUACUGACGCUG